GUGGCUCUGGGAUGUGCGUGUGCGAUGCCAUUUAGAAACUCCGCUCAAUCUGAGCCCUCGGGAUCUGUCCCUUAUCGUGAUGUGCAGAUCGGUCAUUGCGUAUCGGAAGCCUAAAGCGAUAACACGGAGCCCACCUGUAAACAGGUCAGCGGGGUUCACCGGCAUCAUGCUACGGCAUUCUGGAGUUUUU
rnacentral:other from 1 species